AUUGAACGCUGGCGGCAGGCCUAACACAUGCAAGUCGAGCGAGCGGCGGACGGGUGAGUAAUGUAUGGGGAUCUGCCCGAUAGAGGGGGAUAACUACUGGAAACGGUAGCUAAUACCGCAUACCAUCAGAUGAACCCAUAUGGGAUUAGCUUGUAGGUGAGGUAACGGCUCACCUAGGCGACGAUCCCUAGCUGGGCUGAGAGGAUGAGCAGGCACACUGGGACUGAGACACGGCCCAGACUCCAACGGGAGGCAGCAGUGGGGAAUAUUGCACAAUGGGCGCAAGCCUGAUGUAGCCAUGCCGCGUGUCUGAAGAAGGCCUUAGGGUUGUAAAGUAAUUUCAGCGGGGAGGCGUUACCCGCAGAAGAAGCACCGGCUAACUCCGUGCCAGCAGCCGCGGUAAUAC
rnacentral:rRNA from 1 species